GAAUUAACAUGUGCGAGAAUAAGUCUAAAAAAACUUAAUAUAAUGAAAAUUGAAAUUCUCCAUUUUGUUGGGGUGAUUGUUCCGCGUUCAUGGAAGAAGCUAAUGAAUUUCCAGUUUCCAGAUUCAAUUUGGAGGGUGGACAGCUAUAACUAUUUGUUGGGAACAAAAUCAGCGACUUAUAUUUGGUGAAUUAAUGGCAAAAGCCUGAAAACGUGUGUACCCUCGAUCCAUCUCCAGUGUGCAGGUUGCAAAGCACCUCUCCUCCGCCCAAAUCGACGGACCCAUUUCCACGCCGUCGUUAAGCGCGAAAAGCCCUGACCUUUUGACGAACCUCCACGAAGCCGCGAACCAUCGCCCUCUACCGAGACUCAUCCUUGACGAGAUCCAAACGAUCGAUCUGAGAUUGGUAGUUGGGGAGGCUGAAUAUCGUCCUGAGUGUCAGAAAUGCUCACGGCAUCCCACCUUGAAGAACUCUCUGUUCAUCUAAUUCCCUUGUGCGAGCAAAAGUUAGAACUCUUGCCGGAAUAUUGUUCUCUCCCUUAUAGAAGUAUCUUGCAAGUCUGACCGCCUCUUUCCAAGACAUUCUAUCCCUUGGAGCUGCGUUGCCUCCGAAAGCCUCUUGUUGGGGCUGAUAACGCUUGUGCAAGCGGAUUAAUGAUAUUAGAAAACAAAUGGUGGAAGUGACUCCAGACAUAAGGUAGAGACCCCAGAAACUUUCAAGGCUCAAACGAUCAGGUGUACUGGGGGUUACAUCCGUUGCACACUCACGGGAGGGAGUCAACCAUGCAUCUUCAAGUUUUUUCAGCUUUCCUUCUUCAAAUAGCCUUAGAAUCGCUUGUGAAAAAUCCCUGGCUAUUGGGGAGCCUUUCUGGAAUACCUGCAUGGAUGAUCAGAUAUUACUUCUAUUAGAGAAAAAUAAGGAAAAGCUUCUUUGGUGAAUUCUAGAGAUAAUGAACUAGUUUCAGCCACCAUGCAGAAAGUUACCAAAGACUCAAAGUGCAAAGUUGAAGUUAAUACUCACAAAGCCAAAUCCUCCAAAUCUAUAGGUAAGCCUUUACAAAAGAAUCGUUAUCACAACCAAUUUUUGAGUUGCUGUUCCUUAGCCAGUUGAUAUCUGGAACCGUUUCUAGUCGUUGCACAGUGAGAAUUGAAGAUAGAUUUGCAGUGUAGCUUGAGGUCAGGAUCCACACAACGAAAAGCCAAAUUACUACCACCACUCGAGUUAAGUUGCUUUGAAGCGUCUCUUCUGCAAAGACAAAACCGUGUAUGGAGUGUGACGGAUGGUUCUAACCCAGCAACAAAAAGGCAUUGAUAUAUAAACCAUUCACAAGCAUUCUUUAAAAAUUUCGUCUUGGUUGCGCUUCUAAAGUCCAUAUCCUGGGACCCUGUUGUUGAUUAGAAUUUAGAAAGCCAUAUCAUGUUAGAGUGAACCUAAUUCCGCCGGGGUCAGUUCUGCAGUAUUUGCAUUAUGUUGCCAAAAAAUUCUUGUUUCAAAUGCAAUUUACAAUGCACCCACAAGCACGUUUUCAAGCCGGAUA